UACAGAGGGUGCAAGCGUUAAUCGGAAUUACUGGGCGUAAAGCGCGCGUAGGUGGUUCGUUAAGUUGGAUGUGAAAUCCCAGGGCUCAACCCUGGAACUGCCUUCGAUACUGUAUUGCUAGAGUAUGGAAGAGGUAGGUGGAACUGCAAGUGUAGAGGUGAAAUUCGUAGAUAUUUGCAAGAACACCAGUGGCGAAGGCGGCCUACUGGUCCAUCACUGACGCUGAGAUGCGAAAGCGUGGGGAGCAAACAGG
rnacentral:rRNA from 1 species